AAGAGGAAGGAGGAAAAAGACCCAACGCAAGUUUGAGGACUAUGUUCUUGAAUCUGACGAGUUGGAGGCAGAAGAAAACGUCACUGAUGCCAUUGUCAAGGCGCCCUCCUUUCCCAUUCCACCAACAAAGGUGACUAAGUCCAUCCAGAUUGAGUCUGCUGGAUUUAACAAAACGUUCACUGACAUUGGACGUUCAAAUUCAGCCAGGUCUCACCAAGUGCAGGGUGCUGGGUCCAGGGACAGGUCCACAGGCAACUCUGGACAUUCAAAUGUAAACCAAGCCAGCCAGUCGAGGGGUGUUGAGCCCAGUCACCAGUCCAGCCACAGCGACGGGUCCCAGCACAGCGAUGGGUCCCAGCAGAGCGACGGGUCCCAGCACAGCAACCCAUACCGACACAGAAAGCGGUCCAGGCACAGCGACGGGUCCAGGC